rnacentral:lncRNA from 1 species
AACGAAACCUACAACAAUAUUCAAAAGCCGUCAUGACUAAACUUGAUAACCAAACAGACGCACCGUUCACUCAUCUUCUGCAACCAUCGUUCCCCUUUCACUCCCUAUAUUAGCCCCACCGUCACCAAAUCUCCGGCCAUGGCGGUUACAGAGAAAUCGUGGAGAGAUCGUUGGAGGCGAUGCGAUGAUUGUGGCAGUGAUGGAGGAUGAAGAGUUUAGGAUUUACAAAAAUUGAACGGCGAUGGUAAAGGUGAAUCACUAGCGGUGCUGUUGAGACGGCGGUUGGUUGUGUGAGUUGGUUUUGAUCGAUCGGUGUUUGGUACUUGAUGAGGAUAUGUCGUAUCAACUGGUUCUUGAGUCUUCAGUACUCAACCACGAUUUACCAUCCCUCAACUAUUGUAUAUCGGAAAAUUUUAAAGAGCAUCUAUUAAAAAAAUGGAGAAGAUGACUUUAUUUUGCAUACUAAAUUGAAGAGGGUGCAUUGGGAAUUUUGUAAAAAAUCAGAAAUGAC